AACGCGAAGAACCUUACCAGUCCUUGACUUGUCCACUAUGGGUUUGAGAGAUCAGAUCCUUCACUUCGGGUGGGUGGAACACAGGUGCUGCAUGGCUGUCGUCAGCUCGUGUCGUGAGAUGUUGGGUUAAGUCCCGCAACGAGCGCAACCCUCAUCUUCAGUUGCCACCAGGUAAGGCUGGGCACUCUGAAGAAACCGCCGGUGACAAGCCGGAGGAAGGCGGGGAUGACGUCAAGUCCUCAUGGCCCUUACGGACUGGGCUACACACGUACUACAAUGGUGGUGACAAUGGGCAGCGAAAGCGCGAGCUGGAGCUAAUCCCCAAAAGCCAUCUCAGUUCAGAUUGCACUCUGCAACUUGAGUGCAUGAAGUUGGAAUCGCUAGUAAUCGCAGAUCAGCACGCUGCGGUGAAUACGUUCCCGGGCCUUGUACACACCGAGACGAC
rnacentral:rRNA from 1 species